AUUGAACGCUGGCGGAAUGCUUUACACAUGCAAGUCGAACGGCAGCACGGGGCAACCUGGUGGCGAGUGGCGAACGGGUGAGUAAUACAUCGGAACGUGCCCAAUCGUGGGGGAUAACGUAGCGAAAGUUACGCUAAUACCGCAUACGAUCUACGGAUGAAAGCGGGGGAUCGCAAGACCUCGCGCGAAUGGAGCGGCCGAUGUCAGAUUAGGUAGUUGGUGGGGUAAAGGCUCACCAAGCCAACGAUCUGUAGCUGGUCUGAGAGGACGACCAGCCACACUGGAACUGAGACACGGUCCAGACUCCUACGGGAGGCAGCAGUGGGGAAUUUUGGACAAUGGGCGCAAGCCUGAUCCAGCCAUUCCGCGUGCAGGAUGAAGGCCUUCGGGUUGUAAACUGCUUUGUACGGUAACGAAAGGUCCUGGUUAAUACCUGGGCGUCACUGACGGUACCGUAAGAAUAAG
rnacentral:rRNA from 1 species